rnacentral:rRNA from 1 species
AUUGAACGCUGGCGGCAGGCCUAACACAUGCAAGUCGAACGGAUGAAGGGAGCUUGCUCCUGGUUUCAGGGGCGGAGGGGAGGGUAGUGCCUAAGAAUCUCCCUGGUAGUGGGGGCUAACGUCCGGAAAUGGGCGCUAAUACCGCAAACGUCCAGAGGGAGAAAGUGGGUGAUCUUCGGACCUCACGCUCUCAGAUGAGCCUAGGUCGGAUUAGCUAGUUGGUGGGGUAAAGGCCUACCAAGGCGACGAUCCGUAACUGGUCUGAGAGGAUGAUCAGCCACACUGGAACUGAGACACGGUCCAGACUCCUACGGGAGGCAGCAGUGGGGAAUAUUGGACAAUGGGCGAAAGCCUGAUCCAGCCAUGCCGCGUGUGUGAAGAAGGUCUUCGGGUUGUAAAGCACUUUUGGUUGGGAAGAAGAGCAGUAAGUUAAUACCUUGCUGUUUUGACGUUACCAACAGAAUAAGCACCGGCUAACUUCGUG